rnacentral:rRNA from 1 species
UACAGAGGUCUCAAGCGUUAAUCGGAGUCACUGGGCUUAAAGGGUGCGUAGGCGGCCUCGCAAGUGCUUUGUGAAAUCCCACGGCUCAACCGUGGAAUUGCUUGGCAGACUGCGGGGCUUGAGGUCGGUAGGGGCCGCUGGAACUCUAGGUGGAGCGGUGAAAUGCGUAGAUAUCUAGAGGGACGCCAAAGGUGAAGACAGGCGGCUGGGCCGAUUCUGACGCUGAGGCACGAAAGCGUGGGGAGCGAACGGG